rnacentral:lncRNA from 1 species
CGCAGGCCACCUAACCUGUCUCAGAAAAACGAUGAUCUCGGACUCGUUCACCGUUGGAUCGUCGUGAAAUUUGAGCACCACAUUUUCACUCCAAUUACGAGCAUUCUCACCGUUGGGAAUUUGGAUAUUAUGUCUGAGCUAAGAGAAAUACCCCUCGCAUUAUAGCAUUUUCCUUUCCCGCAGAAAUCCAGAGCUGUCUCGGUAAAACUACGAUCCUGGUUUCAUUAACCGCUGGAUUUUUAUGAAAUUUGGAUAUGUUGUUCGAAAUUUAAUUUUGCACGCUUUCACCGUUGGGAUUUCGAGAUAAUAUUUGUGGAGGGAGAAAAAUAAA